CAGUAAGCACCGAGACACGGGUGGGAGAGGACGUGUCUCUCUCCAGAACCACUACACGAGAACACAAAGGAAGGCCUAAUGGCUAUUCUAUCAGUGAAUCGCGGCCGCUCAAUGGCCAAGAGAGCGCUGUUCGGGAGGUCAGAGGUCACGGUGAAUGUUGACCAGGCAUGGAAGUUAAUAGCGGAAGAUGUGGAAGAGUUCAAGAAAAAGUGGAAUUUUGACCCCCUGCAAGGCCUGCCUGUGGUGGAGGGGGCAGGGGGGCGUGGGAGGAGCUACAGCCACAGUUCCAGCACUUUCCAGCACUUCAAGACCCAAGUUUCCAGGUUCCAGAGACGAAAGAGGAAAGUCUGUCAAGUUUCAAUCCUUCACAACAGACAAGUUUCCAGGUUCCAGGGCAAAGACUGGCGCCUCUCUCAUCAUUCCAGCCUUCUCAUGUGGAACAGCAACACUUCCAGGACUUUCCACCACACCAGAUAAGUUUCCAGACUGUUCCUGAGCAAAAACAUGAAAGUCUCUCAAGUUUCCAGGCUCAGAUUAUGGAAAAAGGGGACUUCCAGCAUCUCCCAGCAAUCCAGGACGAAAGUUUCCAGCACCUUCCAGCUCUCCAGGCCAGUUUCCAGACUGUUCCAGAGCAAAAACAGGAAGAGAUUUCAUGGUUCCAGCCUGCACACUCAGAAAAACAAGACUUCCAGUACCUUCCAGCAGUGAGACAUGAAGAUCACGCCUCCUUCCAGCAAGCACCAGCACUCCAGCACCCAAGUUUCAACAUUCCAGGGCCAAAAAUCGAAGGUUCCUCCAGUGAAGUCCCUGAAAAAGCCCUCCAGCACCGAAGUUUCCAGGUUCCAGGGAUACAAAAGGAAGGGUUUUCAAGUUUCCAGCCUCUACACCACCACAGCUUCCAGUCAAGACACCUGGAAAUACAAAAUCUUCAAGGCCUUCCAGUGGUGAAAUUUGAAGAGCAGACAUUCUUCCAGAACCAAGAGGAGGAGGAGGAGGAGGAGGAGGAGGAGGAGGAGGAGGAGGAGGAGGAGGAGGAGGAGGAGGAGAGGAGGGAAGAUACGAGAGAAGAGGAGAGGAGAGACCAGGAGAGAGAGGUUACGAAAGAGAAGAGAGAAGAGGAAGAGAGGAAAGAAUUUAGGGGAGCCUUGGAAUGUUGCAAAUCUCCAGUUGUAGCAGGAGGGCGUCUCUGCUACAACAACAACAACAACAACAACAACAACAACAACAACAACAACAACAACAACAACAAGAGGAGGAAGAAGAGUUGUGACAAAGAUAAAUUUCACCAAACUUCAAUUACUGAUUUCGCCAAGCCUGACAAAAGAAAACGGUUCUCAGGCCUCCACAAGACGACCAGAACCCAGCCAAUCACAGCUCUCGUCUGAUCCCCGCCAACCAAUAGGAAUCAAGCCAGUGUUUCUAAGCUAAUCACGUGCGAGAAAAGCCUAGAACUUGACCAAUGAGGAGAUAGAUUGAGUUCUUCGUAUACACACACACACACACACACACACACACACACACACACACACACACACAGAGAGAGAGAGAGAGAGAGAGAGAGAGAGUUGGAGGAGAAUGUAAAAGGAAGAGGAGGAAAAAGAAGAAGAAGAAGAAGAAGAAGAAGAAGAAGCAAAAAAAAGAAGAAAAAAGAAGCAUGUUUUUUUUUAUUUUCAAGUAAUAGUCAUGAAAACCAAAUAAUAAUAAUAAUAAUAAUUAAAAUAAUAAUAAUAAUAAUAAUAAUAAUAAUAAUAAUAAUAAUAAAAUAAUCAGGUACAUAAGCUAGUCAAUAAAAAUAAUAAUAAUAAUAAUAAUAAUAAUAAUAAUAAUAAUAAUAAUAAUACCAAAGAUUGUGGUAAUUCAAACCAAAACAACAACAAUAAUAAUAAUAAUAAUAAUAAUAAUAAUAAUAAUAAUAAUAAUAAUAAUAACAACCGCUGUACCUUGACAAGUGUAACAGAAGGAAAUAAUGUAUGUAAUAAUUAACUGUUGUAAUUCUCACCUUAGGUAAUUAUGUUAAGGUAACCCUCGUUUUCUGUUGAGUAUUUUUCAUUUUACUUUAAUUUUUGUACCAAAUAUUGUAUGUUCAUAAGUGUACUACUACUACUACUACUACUACUACUACUACUACUACUACUACUGCUGCUACUGCUACUUUCACCACCACUACAACUACUAUUACUACUACCACUUCCACCACAACUACAACCACUACUACUACUACAACUACUACUACUACUACUACUACUACUACUACUACUACUACUACUACUACUACUACUACUACUACAAUAUCUAGUCCCUUUAACCGGAAGCUUUAAAAUUAAGCGGAGUCAAGCCUGUAUAUAUGUGUGUGUGUGUGUGUGUGUGUGUGUGUGUGUGUGUGUGUGUGUGUGUAUUUAUGUAUGAAAUAUAUUAGACAAUUAAAUAUAUAUGUAUUG